rnacentral:rRNA from 1 species
GAUGAACGCUAGCGCGAGGCUUAACACAUGCAAGUCGAGCGGGAUAAGUAGCAAUACUUUGAGAGCGGCGCACGGGUGCGUAACGCGUAUGCAACCUGCCUUAUACAGGGGGAUAGCCCAUGGCAACGUGGAUUAAUAUCCCAUAGGACUUAUGAAUCGCAUGGUUACUAAGUUAAAAAUACGGUGGUAUAAGAUGGGCAUGCGUCUGAUUAGGUAGUUGGUAGGGUAACGGCUUACCAAGCCGACGAUCAGUAGGGGUUCUGAGAGGCUUACCCCCCACACAGGUACUGAGACACGGACCAGACUCCUGCGGGAGGCAGCAGUGAGGGAUAUUGGUCAAUGGGCGGUAGCCUGAACCAGCCAUCCCGCGUGCAGGAUGACGGCCCUAUGGGUUGUAAACUGCUUUUCUGCUCCAAGAAACCUGAUUACGAGUAAUCAGUUGACGGUAGAGCAGGAAUAAGCAUCGGCUAACUCCGUGCCAGCCGCCGCCGUAACAC